GUUAACUUUCUCUUACUCCACUCCCAUAUACUUUUGGGGAAAACAUCACAAGAACAUCAGGCUGUGAUGAGAAGCCCAGGGCCACGACCAAUUCUUUUAAUUCUAAUUUUGCUUUCAAGCCCAUCAGAAUUGGCUUCAGCCCCCAUAAUCGAAAUUUCCUCUGCUAAAUUAUUAAACCAAAAGUUUUUGGAAUAUAGGUUACUGUCACUCAUUAAUAAAAGGCUUGCUUAGCCCAAAACAUAGAGGCUAUGAAACCAAGCACAUGGGCUUAUAACAUGGGCUCAAUCUCAAAGAAACUACCUACAGCCCAGCUCAUUUACAGAAACCUUAAUACUUAAAGUCCAACGUGAUAAACAACAAAGCACACAUCGGUACCAAAGACAACAAUAAGAAGCUCGAUGACCAGGGGAGUGUUGAUCCAAGUGGAGGAGCUAGUGUAGCUCCAUAACCAAAUCAACCCUUCUAUGCAAGUGAACAAGUUCUAGGCGAGAAAGGACCCAUCCUUUAGAGAAUCAUCGAGUGGCAGGUAAAACUCCGUAGGCGCUCUAAGUCUCAUAUAGCAACCUCAUAAAACAGACCCAGCAAUCAUAACUCAAAGGACCAUCAACACAAUAAACAAACCAUUCUUCGCCAAAUAUGAGGGAGGCUCGGAGAAGUGCAUGCACCCUCUCUGUUGAACCUCACAUGCACAGAGAACAAAAUCGAAAAGCUUUUAUUUAUAGCCCAUCUAGCAAUGGGGAGGAAUAACCCACUCUUCAAACAAGACGACGAAGCUGUCUCCUACCCAAAAGGGGCAGGAAAAAGCCAAUUGCACAACAGACAAAGAGAGAUUGCAAUCUUUAGAAGAACCCACACAUGAGAGAAAAAAUCUCCCAUUGAAGUGGAGAGAGACCUUGGGGCUCCUUAUUUUUUUGUUAGGUUG
rnacentral:misc_RNA from 1 species